rnacentral:rRNA from 1 species
GAUGAACGCUAGCUACAGGCUUAACACAUGCAAGUCGAGGGGAAACGGCAUUAAGUGCUUGCACUUUUUGGACGUCGACCGGCGCACGGGUGAGUAACGCGUAUCCAACCUUCCCAUGACUAAGGGAUAACCUGCCGAAAGGCAGACUAAUACCUUAUGGUCUUCACUGACGGCAUCAGAUGUGAAGUAAAGAUUUAUCGGUUAUGGAUGGGGAUGCGUCUGAUUAGCUUGUUGGCGGGGUAACGGCCCACCAAGGCAACGAUCAGUAGGGGUUCUGAGAGGAAGGUCCCCCACAUUGGAACUGAGACACGGUCCAAACUCCUACGGGAAGCAGCAGUGAGGAAUAUUGGUCAAUGGGCGAGAGCCUGAACCAGCCAAGUAGCGUGCAGGAUGACGGCCCUAUGGGUUGUAAACUGCUUUUGUAUGGGGAUAAAGUCAAUCACGUGUGAUUGUUUGCAGGUACCAUACGAAUAAGGACCGGCUAAUUCCGUG